GACAGAGGGUGCAAACGUUGUUCGGAAUUACUGGGCGUAAAGGGCGCGUAGGCGGCCUGCUAAGUCGGACGUGAAAUCCCUCGGCUCAACCGGGGAACUGCGUCCGAUACUGGCGAGGCUUGAAUCCGGGAGAGGGAUGCAGAAUUCCAGGUGUAGCGGUGAAAUGCGUAGAUAUCUGGAGGAAUACCGGUGGCGAAGGCGGCAUCCUGGACCGGCAUUGACGCUGAGGAGCGAAAGCCAGGGGAGCAAACGGG
rnacentral:rRNA from 1 species